GCCUAAGUAGCUCGGAGGCAGGGACGGCAGACUGAAGAUUUGUCUGUCGACGGUCGAGUCCGUUUUUAGACG
rnacentral:tRNA from 1 species